CCUAAUUUUAAACUGCUUGCAAUGUAGCUGUGAAAAAUAGCAACCUUCUGUGUAAUGAAUGUCUUGAGCACAGUGAUUUAGCUAUUCAAAAGUUGCAUUUGUAUUUAUUCAAGAAAGCAGUGUAACAAGCAGAAGAAUGUUGAUUUGUGCCUGAACUCCUGCUAUCCGUUUAAUGAUUAUUUAUAUAAUUUUAUACAUUGUUGUAACAAGCAGAAGAAUGUUGAUUUGUGCCUGAACUCCUGCUAUCCGUUUAAUGAUUAUUUAUAUAAUUUUAUACAUUGUUGUAUGUUGCUCGCAAACUCAUUUUCUGCUUGAAUAAAUUGAAUGUAAGCUAUCAUUUAUUUUGCACGUUCAUCAAUUCAAUGGCUCCUGAGUCGGUGGUCUAUCGGAAAAUGACCUCUCUACUUCUUCGGAGGUAGUGGUAUGGACUGCGUACAUUUUACCCUCCCCAGACCCCACUAUGUGGGAAUACACUGGGUUUGUUGUUGUUGUUGUAUCAAUUCAAUUGUUGUUGUCAUAGGUUAAU
rnacentral:lncRNA from 1 species